GUGGGGAAUAUUGCACAAUGGGCGCAAGCCUGAUGCAGCAACGCCGCGUGGGGGAUGACGGCCUUCGGGUUGUAAACCUCUUUUAGUAGGGAAGAAGCGAAAGUGACGGUACCUGCAGAAAAAGCACCGGCUAACUACGUGCCAGCAGCCGCGGUAAUACGUAGGGUGCAAGCGUUGUCCGGAAUUAUUGGGCGUAAAGAGCUCGUAGGCGGUUUGUCGCGUCUGCUGUGAAAUCCCGAGGCUCAACCUCGGGCCUGCAGUGGGUACGGGCAGACUAGAGUGCGGUAGGGGAGAUUGGAAUUCCUGGUGUAGCGGUGGAAUGCGCAGAUAUCAGGAGGAACACCGAUGGCGAAGGCAGAUCUCUGGGCCGCUACUGACGCUGAGGAGCGAAAGCAUGGGGAGCGAACAGGAUUAGAAACCCCUGUAGUCC
rnacentral:rRNA from 1 species